CACAUGAGAGAGGCAUUCCAUUCUGUUGUGACUGUUAUUCCAGUAACUGAUGUUUUUUAACUGCUUUCUGCUUCUCUCUCUGUGUGUGAGGGGCAAUGGCUGCUGAGAGAGGCUUCUUAGGAGAUGCUGUGUUGUGUCAGUGGGAUCUGUCUGAAGUGAAACAGGCAGAGGAAGGAUCGCUAAACAUUAACAGGGAGAAAUCUGUGCAGGAGCCUCUCUGUAAGGAGCAGAGGGAAUACUGCUGAGAUGACCCAUGGCGCUCGAAGUGGACGGCAGAGAAGAUAGCACCUUUUGGCUUCUAAGGCAUCACCUAUCAACCGUGAUAUUUGUAAGUUCGUGAAGAUACCAACAAAUGGUCUGCCCUGUGCAUUUUUCUGAUUUCAACCAUGUAUUAAAUAAACCACAAAAAACGCCACAGGGACAUGCUAGGCAAACGAUGAGCUAACGAGCAUGAAGAUGUCUAGGGAAAAACAAGGAAGAGGAAAAAAAGUUACGGAGAGUCUAUGCAGCAGAAACAAAAUCAUUUUUUUAAAAAAUGGGUGCAGGAGAAAACUAAUGCAAAUCUUGCAUCAUCAGAAUAUCAGCCAUUCACGCAGUUUGCAUUAACUGUACACUUGACCAACAACGACGGCACAAUGAAGGACCCCCCAAAAGGAAUCCAUCUGAAAGGGAGUUAGAGAAGAUGGAUUUGUGUUUUAUUUGGGGGGAGGGGGAAAGAAUAAAGAACCAGUUUCAACAAAUGCAACGUAAGGGGGGUGCUGUGUUGGAGUGGGUUGGGGGAGAAAGAGAGAGAGGAGGAGAAUAGUCCAAGACAACUAAACUUUAAACUAGAUAAUGGAAACUACAAACAGGUUAACCAGACAAAAUACAAACAGGAGGAUAAAAAAGCAUGUAGGAUGUAGAAUUCAACGGUGAAAAAGCACCCAUUGUUGGCACAGAUACUCCAGAGACUACUUCAAAAGGAUCUAGCUAGCAGAGAGAGCUGCUCUUUAGGUAUCCAAUAAGUUAACAAUAGGCAAUAAAUAACUUCCAUUAUUUCUGAGGCAGUAAAAAUUUUUGUAUAAAAAUAGAAAUGCUUUUUACAAAUAAAAUUUACAGGCCUGUGGCUUUCUUUUGUUAUCUAUUAUUAUUAUUAAUUUUUUUUAUCUUUCAAGAAACAUCAAGUAUUGUCACUCUUUUUAUUUAUUUAUUUUAAACCCUGUAGCUUUAGAAACGGAUCUCUAAGUCUUUUUUUUUACACUAAAACUCUAAAAAAAACAAAUCCCCUAAGGACUUU